GUGCCUACGGGGGGCAGCAGUAGGGAAUUUUCGUCAAUGGGCGCAAGCCUGAACGAGCAAUGCCGCGUGAACGAGGAAGGUCUGCGGAUCGUAAAGUUCUGUUGAAGGGGAAAAAGAGCGGAGAGAGGAAAUGCUUUCUGAUUGAUAUUACCCUUCGAGGAAGUCACGGCUAACUACGUGCCAGCAGCCGCGGUAAUACGGAGGAUGCGAGCGUUAUCCGGAUUUAUUGGGUUUAAAGGGUGCGUAGGCGGGCUUUUAAGUCAGCGGUAAAAAUUCGGGGCUCAACCCCGUCCGGCCGUUGAAAC
rnacentral:rRNA from 1 species